rnacentral:lncRNA from 1 species
UCCCUUCAUUCAAAAUCCAUGAAUAUGAUUAAGCUAUUUAUCAAACAUCACCGAAUUAAGUUUUCUAAUCAAAUAAUACCCGUCUCAUUAGAAGCAUCACUUCCUCUCUCCCAUCAACAUAUUUCUUAUUUGUUGGUUGAAUAAAAUACUAAUAUAUUAACACGAUCUUACAAAAAAAUUUGAAAUAUUUUUCACUGCCAAUCUCAUUUAUCUAAAUUUCCUUAAUUAAUUUGAAUUUGUAGCAUUGUCCAACAGACUGCAAAAUAAGAAAUAAACUCAAGUCAAAACCAGAUAUUCAAUGGAAAUUGAUAAUAUAUACAUGGGGAGCACCCUGCAACACCUCCCAUUUCACAAACAUAUGAUAUAAUCUUACUAUCUUGGAAAGAUGAAACACACAUAAUCCAAUAUAAACUCAUAUUACAAGCUUUACUAUACACAACUUAUAAAUAGACAAGUUUGUUAAAAGAAAAAAAUAAAAAAUAAAUAACCAUUCGCCACGACGAGGGGGAAAAACCCAUCAAGCACAAGAUAUCAUUUAUCUGUUUUAUUUCCAGUUUAUCUCGCAUUAGAGAAACCUUCACGGCACUCAGGUCAGGUUUAUUCCUUCCAUAUAUGCACUGCAUAGAAGAAAACAACAUAACGAGGUUUCAACUGUUAACAAGCUAUGCCUACUUUCAGCAAUGCGCAUGCUCCUCUAAUCUAAGUUAUUGUUACAAAUUAUCCGCAUAAAGCUGAUUCAGUUUUGUGAGAUUACUAAAUUUUGGAAAUCUUCAUCCAGGUGCAGAUGUGGAGAUAGGACAGCAACCAUAAAGUUGAUAACAAGUCUCAGAUUUCAGGGUUCAUUCAAGGAUAACGAAAAGGUGCAUAUGUUAUUAGAUCAGAGUUCAAUGUUGUACAACAGGGACUAAUUCAUCAGAUAUGACUAAUAACUAUUCAUUAGUUUUAGAAUUACAAAAAGGUUCAGUGGCAAGAACUGCCGGAAACAGGACUAAAAUACUCCAAAAACAGAGGCAAUGCUAUGACUAGAGCAGCAUACUGUCAGCUCAUUGCACACUUUUGAUGAUGCAAAUACUAAUAGUUCUAAGCAAUAACACACAGAUCAAAGAAGACAAAAGGAUCUUAACUUAAUGGAUUACUGCAAUGGUCAUCAAGAUGACUAAUUAACUUAAUGGAUCUUAAAGUGAGAAUUGACUAGUAAACAAAAACACAAGGAUGCUCAUUGAGCACCACAUAAGUAAAUAAGUCAGCUGAAGUAAAAAAAUACUUAUGCAUAACUACAAUAAAUGGCCAAACUAAGCUCAGAAGCUACUCCCCUCAUCCCAUUUGCCACUGUAUACACAUUAUAAGUGAAUAAAUCAAUAAAGAAUCAAACUCAGUUAUCACUUUCUGGAAAAUUCAUACUCCUUAGAAAACCCGAGCAUCGGCACUCUAAACAUGUAUAUACUUACUUUCAUAGUAAUUAAAUAUAAGAGUAGGGAGAGUGAAAUCAUAAAAAUCGUAUAAAGAAUCAUAAGUGCAAGCAGUGUAACCUAUAAAAUGGAAACAAUGAUCAAUAAUACCUUAAGAACAGGUUCCCCUUUGUUAGUGUUAGAAGAUUGUUUUGUAGCAGCUGCUAGCUGUGCAUGUGCAGCUCUUCCUGCAGCGGACUUAUAAAAUUGCUCUUGCCUGCAAUUGUGCCAUAGUUGACUUGGUUACACAGUAUCAUUUAGAGGCUAAUCCAAAUUAAUUCCUAUUACUGGAUAUACUGAUAUAAAAGAAAUGGAUCUAAGUUCAUUAAGUGAAACAAAAUCUGCCAAUGCAUAGAGGGCAUAAACAAUAACAAUAGUGCAUGUUCUACUCUCAUGUGCCACUGCCCUUUGCAAUUCGGCAUACAAGUUGACACAAGUAUUUACAUGCCUUCGUGUAGCCUUGCAAUACUUGACUUGUUGAUAAAAUCUCAUAACUUGAACAUCAAAUUGCAACAAGGAAACUUUAAUUCUAUGCACACAAUUUUAUUUAUAACCUUGCACUUCUUUCCAUUAUUAUAUACGGGAAUCAUUUUCAACCUUCUCCAACUAGUUCGGGAUAAAAAGCCUUUGUUGAGUUGAGUACUCUACUCCUUGAUUGAUACCUCCAUCACUUAGAUGUCCACAUCUCUUUCUUGCUUAUUUGCUAAUAUAGGAUAACUUUUUUCCAUACUUCUAGACAAAAUCCAAUAUCAUGAAUAAUUGGUGCAAUUGGAGCCUUGUGUUCACUUCCCAAGAGAGAAAUGCUAAGGACAGGCUUGAUAAGGACAAAAUCCACUAUUUCCAUCUUCCAAAGGUAUUUUCUAUAAGGGUGGUCAAAUUUUUGUCAGAGGUAUUUGAUUGGAAUACCCACCAUAAUGAUAAAUUAUCCGUAUUCCUUCCAAAAGCAAUAUGCUAAAAAUCACUAUCCAGGAAAUUAAAACAAGUAACUGUUAUAUAUUGCACCUUAUUUUAUACUUUUGUGACUUAUUUUAUGUCAUAUUUAAGUUUGAUAAUUCAUCUGUGGACAUAAUUUAACCAAGUAUAAAAGGUGUAACUUAAUGUAUUAUACGUGGAGAAUAAGAGAAAAUUUUAUUUGAUUUGUGUAGAAAUCAUUUGAUUAGUGUCUUGAGUGAGACAUUUAAUAAGGUGCAAAUUUAUUUGAUAAAACUAUUAUUUCUUGUCUCAUUUAAUAAAAAAGACUACUUGACACUUUAUAAGUACAAGUGUAUAGUCUUAUUUUAUUUUGGAACAAAAGAUAUUCUUGUGAGACUUUUGAAAUUCUAUUUAAUUAAAAAUUUAUUACUAAUAUGUAACUUACAUCAUUAAUAGUUACAUCAUUAGUAGUAAUAAGUAUAAUUAAAAUAGAAAUAAAUAAUAGUUUAAUGGUGAAACUAUUAUAGAUAUAUGUAUGUAUCUAUAUGUGUAGAUAUAGAUAUACUACAUAUAUGUAUAUUGAGAGAAGUCUUAGAUAUACAUUUUUUAGACAUAAUAUUUUUGCACCAUGAAAAUCUCUCAUUCUUUUAGCUAUUCUUCUUUACAAACAAAUAACUACUACAAAGAAGUAUUCGUGGGAACAAUUGUGAAUUGCUAUCACAAAUUUGUUCAAUUUUGAGGCUUGACAUAUAUCCUGGAGGUAUAUCGUCUGCAACCCAUAACAAACCGAUCGUGGUGGGGCCAUAAAGACCUUAAGGACAGGGAUCACCCGUGUCACGUCUUCUACAACAAUCUUGACUCAACGAAGCUACGGUUCUAACAAUCUUAAGGUCUUUAUUGUAUUUGUUAAGAGUUAUGAUUUUGGUGAGAUGGAAGACAACACGGUUUUCAAAGAUAAGUGUCAUUUUUUUUGUAUCUAUUUUAUCAAUGAAAUUUUUAUGAUAAUUAGUAAUAUAUUGAGAUAUUAAGCUAAUUAUUUUUAUUGAUAAUUCCUGUUAGAAGAUGGAUUAUGGAGAAAAAUGAAAGUGAAAAGAUUUGCAAUUUACAAGUUUGUAAAUUGAUGUGGAGGAGACGAAGAGUCAUCAUGGAAAACACCAAAUGUUGAUGUCUAAAUUUUUUUUUAAAGAGAUUGUGGUGUUCUUCGGAUUUAAUUCCAAAAUGUGUGUUUUUAACGAUUGCCUUUAUUUUUAUAAAUGAUAACUGUGUAUCAUUUUGUAUGUGUAUAUACUUGAAAGUAUAUGUUUUAUUCAUUAUAUCAUGUGUAUAUGAUAUUAUAUGUUUGAGUAUUAUUUUACCUACAUUUUGUUGUAAUAAAUUAAUUAAUUAGUUUUGUGGGAUAAGAAAAGUAAUUAAAUUUUUGUUCAUGAUGGAAUAAAUUUAAUUUUGUACAUAUAUAUUUUGUUUAUAAUAUUUUAUGAGUAGAUAAAAUAUUUGAUGUGUAUAUGUAUGUAUGAAAUUUGAGACAAUUAUUUUUCUUAUACACUAAUUGAGAUUAAUUUAUUAUGAGAAAGUUGUAGUAAAAUUUGAGAAGUUUACUUGUCUCUAUGUAUAACAAAUUAGCUGUAAAUUAAUUUAUUUUGAGAAUAAGGUAAAUUUAUGUUCUUCUUGAACAAAAUUAUGCAUAUAAAGUUAGAGGUAAUAUUUAGUGUAAUAUUACUCGGUAUUUGUAUGCAUGAAUUUUGAGAUAGAUUACUUUGUUUGUGGAUAAUAAAUUAAUUAUCAACUAAUAGUUAGAAGAGAUAUUGUAGAAGUAUUUGGUUGAAUAAAUCUUGUAUACAAUAUGAUUUUGAUGUUGAGAAAACACUUAGAAAUGAUAUUCAUAGUGUUUUUGGGAUAAUCGUAAUUGGUAUAUGUUGAUUUAUUUUUAUGUUUACUUGUCCAAGAAGUAGUAAAUUUUAAUGUGAUUAUAUGAAUUUUGUAUAUUCUAAAUGAGGUUAAUAUUUUAUUUUUUGACUUUUUAUAAAUAUAGUGAAGUUCAAUUAUUUCAUAUUAUUAUGAUAAUUGUCUUGAAUUCUAUAUUUAUAAUUUUCAAAAGAUAUAAUGUUUAUGGUAUUUUCAUGUCUAAGUUGGGACAAGAAAAUACUUGAGAAUAUACUAAUUCAUGUGUGUGAAUUUUAUUUGCUUUCUACAUAAAUUAAUUUUGUGUGAUAAAUUAAUUUCUUAGAAAGUAUAUAAAUUUUUAUAUUUUAUAUGCAAAUAAAUUUGUGCAAUAUGAUGAGUUGUGCUAUAAUUUGUAUAUAAUGAAUUUUAUACUAUUUACAUAGAAUCAAGUGUUACAUGUUGGUAUACUUGAAAAAUGUACAUGUAUAAAUUUAAGUUCUCAUGUUAAAUAAUUUUUGGAUUUGAGAUUUUAUGUACUUAAGAAAAUAAGAGCUUGUUUUCUUAUGUGGGGGUGUUAUAAAAGAUUCUUAAGUUGAAGCAAUCUUUAUAUGAAUAACUAAUACAUAAAAUGUACAAGAACUUAUUUUUUGUUUUGAUAAGUGUUCCUUAAUAUUCUCACGUGGAAGUAAUAUUUAUAAGAACAUUAUCACAUAAAAUGUCAAUUAAUCUAAAAUUUAUUUUAAGUAGUGGGCAUAAUAUUGUGAAGUGAAAUUAUUCAAUGAGAUAUCAAUUAUUUAAAAGUGUGGGGGUGAUUCUUUGAGAUUUUUAUUUUGGUCUUUGAACUAUUUGGAGCAUAAAUUUAUUUAUGUAAGAAAUAGUAAGACUUAUGAAUUUCUUGUUGCGAAAUCAAUUUGAUUGUGUAGUUCUGUGAAAUGAAAGUCUUUGAAACACAAACUUUGAAUAAUAUUGAAGUGUGAACUUAUUUCACUUAAUUAAUUUUCUAAGGUUGUACAGAGUUAUAAACUGAACCUAGAAUGAUUAAUAUUGAUUUGGUGAAGGAAAUCAAUAUAAUAAUUUGGUAAAUAAAAUACCUAUUUUAUUAGUUUAAAUAUGAUCCAAAAUAUUUAUUGUGAUUUAGUUCAAUAGUGAGAUUGAAACUAAGUUAUAAAUAUUCAAGUGGAUACAUAUUAGGUGAUAAUAUGUGCAUAUUAACCUUGAGAUUCUAUCGGAUAUAGAAUUAUUUAUAUGUUUACACUAACAAUAUAAUUGUAUAAACUAUAAUGUGAUAGUUUUUGCGUAUAUUAAUGUUAUGUUGAUCAUUUUACAUAGUAUUGUUAACGUAAACGAGUUUAAGAAAUAUCUAUUUUUGUCUUUAUGUUGAAAGACUUGUAAAAUAGAUGUUAUCUUAUUAUCAUGUGAAAACAUAGUGAGGAUUCCAACUAAACCAAUUAAAUUGUAUUGAGAAGCUAUACUAAACUAAGUUUGAUAUACCUUGAGAUUGAAGAAUUUAAUAAUUCUUUAAUAGUAGUGGUACACUGAAAGUUAAUUCUGAUAUAGUUAUUGUAAAGCUGAAGUACACAUUGGCUAGUGGGAGCCUUAUGUUUGAUAUGCAAUGCACGAGAUCAGAUAUUACAUACAGUUUUAAACUUAGUAUACUAAUGAUUUACAUUGGUUUUUGUUAGAUCUCUCAAUGUUUUAAUAGAUCACAUAAGUCUCACUUAUAUUUUAGUGAAAAAAAUUAUAAAUUUACAAUAGGUGAAUUUUCACUCAAUCUUGAGUUUUGUUUCUUAGAUGAGUAAGAAACAAAAUGAGUAUUUCCCAUUUCACAAUAUGAAUCUAAUGUUAUUAUUUUAUGAGGGAAGUUUAAUGGAUUAGGGUGUUUGUUAAAACAUUGAUUGUAGCCUAGUCUAAAGCCUCCUAUUUCACAAUAUUGUGUUAGUGAAAUAUUUUAUGUAGUACAAAUUAUUAAUCUUGGAUUCAUAACUGGUUGUUAUCUUGAAUAAGUAUGAAAAUAUUCACAAGUAGGUGAAUAUAUAAUUAUAUUUUUACAAGUAGGUGGAUAUAUUAUUACCCUUAGUGAGGGAAUAAUUUACUUGGAGUAGUAAGUAAUACUUUUGCUUUAUAUGAUGUAGAAAGCAAUUGGUAUCGAAAUUUGUUGUUGAAACUUAACAUCAAAUUGUGGCAACUUCCAUUGCUUAGUUCAUUAUGAUGUGAUAAUGAAAUUGUUUUGUAUAGAGCAAAUGAGAUUACCUUUAAUGGUAGGUCUUGACAUGUUGGUCAUAGACAUAUUUUUUGUCAGACAAUUGAUACAAGAAGGUAUCUUAAAAUUUGUUUAUGAGGAAGUCAAGUGACGACUUGACUUAUCUUGUUAUUAAGACUCUCACAAGAGCUUAGUAAGUUUAACUACUUGUGAUAUGGAACUUAAACCACUUUGAGUCAGGGGUGAUGGGAACCCAACCUAUUCCUAGGUUACCCCUAGUUUAUAGGUUCAAUGGGAAAAACAAGUCACAGUUGCUGACUGUGUUACUAUCAAUGUGGUUCCAUAUGUAAUUUAAGAUAGUAACGUCUGUUGCACGACCGAGGCUGAGUUAUACUCUUAACAAAUUUGUUGUGGUCUUAGCAACAGAAACACAUGUGAAACACUUUGCCUAUAUGAACUAGAAGUGAAGCGGCUUCUUAUAGAGGGUUGUGGUUUACUCUCUUAGAGGUUCAUGAAACAGGGUAUUGCGCAUGGCCAUAUUAGCGCAAAGCAAUUGAGAAUACUUAUCGUGGUAAGAGGAUUUUGUGUGUGAAAAUUCCGGUCAUAUCAUAUAGAAGUAGAUGUUCAAUCUACGGACACCUUCAACUUCGAUGUGGUUUUGAGUUGUUUACACUAAGGGAAGGUUCAAUGUUCGUCACACCCUCUUUUAUGCACACAUGCCUUGGAGUUGUUUGGAUGAAAAAUAGUUUUUCCAAACAAGUGGGGGAUUGUUAUAUAUUGCACCUUAUUUUAUACUUUUGUGACUUAUUUUAUGUCAUAUUUAAGUUUGAUAAUUCAUCUGUGGACAUAAUUUAACUAAGUAUAAAAGGUGUAACUUAAUGAAUUAUACGUGGAGAAUAAGAGAAAAUUUUAUUUGAUUUGUGUAGAAAUCAUUUGAUUAGUGUCUAAAGUGAGACAUUUAAUAAGGUGCAAAUUUGUUUGAUAAAAUUAUUAUUUCUUGUCUCAUUUAAUAAAAAAGACUACUUGACACUUUAUAAGUACAAGUGUAUAGUCUUAUUUUAUUUUGGAACAAAAGAUAUUCUUGUGAGACUUUAAAUUCUAUUUAAUUAUAAAUUUAUUACUAAUAUGUAACUUACAUCAUUAGUAGUAAUAAGUAUAAUUAAAAUAGAAAUAAAUAAUAGUUUAAUGGUGAAACUAUUAUAGAUAUAUGUAUGUAUCUAUAUGUGUAGAUAUAGAUAUACUACAUAUAUGUAUAUUGAGAGAAGUCUUAGAUAUACAUUUUUUAGACAUAAUAUUUUUGUACCAUGAAAAUCUCUCAUUCUUUUAGCUAUUCUUCUUUACAAACAAAUAACUACUACAAAGAAGUAUUCGUUUGGAACAAUUGUGAAUUGCUAUCACAAAUUUGUUCAGUUUUGAGGCUUGACAUAUAUCCUGGAGGUAUAUCGUCUGCAACUCAUAGCAAACCGAUCGUGGUGGGGGCGAUAAAGACCUUAGGGACAGGGAUCACCCGUGUCACGUCUUCUACAACAAUCUUGACUCUACGAAGCUACGGUUCUAACAGUAACUAUAUCGACAGUUUGUAGCCAGUAGGCAAAAGCUCAAUUUAAAUCUUAAGAAAAAAUAGAGUUGAAGUAAUGCAAAAAUUGGUUCUUUUCCAUUAGAAUCCCCAAAAAAAUCUAAAAUAGAAACCCAAAACUGAAAAUCAACUCCUUACCCUUGCCUUGAUCAUGCUGUAUUGAAUUAUUACAGAACUUAACAAGUUUCCGGUUUGGGUGAUCAAAUUUUGAAAUCCCAAACAAUACAAAAACCCCUAGCAAUCUUACAAGGUAACUAAACUCGUUGAAAACAGAUAACAGAUCGCAUUAUAGUGAUUACGGACGGACAUAGCUGAAUAAGAAAAUCGUAGAUUACCAUCUAUUGAUUCUUAAAAAAUAAAAAUCAAUUCAAAGGGAAACGAUUGAUAAUUGACAAAUAGAGAAAGAAAGAGAAAGAGGGAGAGAGAGAAAAUGCCUCUUCUCGGCGGCUUCGGCGGCUUUAGCUCGAGCUUCUUGGGAGGCUAAACGGUCUUCUUCCUUUCUCUGGUGUUUCCCUCCAUCAAAGCAAGCAAAACAACCCAUCCCUCUCUCUCCCCUAUCUGUCCAGAAGCUGUCACCUUCCUAAUUGACUACAGUAUUUUCUUACACUUCCGGUGCUAAAUUUGAUGACCAUGUCUUUAAUUUACAUAAUUGAAAUUUUCUGCCCAAAGGUUUCAAACAUUGGGAUUUUACUCCACAAUUUUACGAUAUUUUCUAUGUUAAGUCACUUUUCUCUUAU